rnacentral:lncRNA from 1 species
AGCAGGGCGGGGGCCCCCUCCUAAGAAUCUAGGAGAACGUCAGAGACUGCCACCUGCUCCAAGCUUAAAUUUCCCUGCAAAGGACCCUGGCUAAAUUAGACGGACCAACAGGCUGAGGCCAGGUCCUACCUCAGCGAGGAGAUGAUCGCUGAGUUCAAGGCUGCCUUUGACAUGUUUGAUGCUGAUGGUGGUGGGGACAUCAGCGUUAAAGAGCUGGGUACCGUGAUGAGGAUGCUAGGGCAGACACCCACCAAAGAGGAACUGGACGCCAUCAUCGAGGAGGUGGACGAGGAUGGCAGCGGUACCAUCGACUUUGAAGAGUUCUUGGUCAUGAUGGUGCGCCAGAUGAAAGAGGAUGCGAAAGGGAAGAGCGAAGAGGAACUGGCUGAGUGUUUCCGCAUCUUUGACAGGAACGCAGACGGUUACAUUGAUGCCGAGGAGCUGGCUGAGAUUUUCCGGGCUUCUGGGGAGCAUGUGACAGACGAGGAGAUCGAAUCCCUGAUGAAGGAUGGUGAUAAGAACAACGAUGGCCGCAUUGACUUCGACGAGUUUCUGAAGAUGAUGGAGGGCGUUCAGUAAGGAGCUGGUCUUCGUGUUCAUCCAGACUGCAGGUCCCCUGGGCGUGGGCAACUCCAUCCUUGCCUCCUUGCCCUACCAGGGAAAGGCUGCUCCUUUGGGCUCUGUGGCUGGAAGGAAUAAAAGCAGACAAUGUAAAGCUGG